UACGAAGGGGGGCUAGCGUUGUUCGGAAUCACUGGGCGUAAAGCGCACGUAGGCGGACCGUUAAGUCGGAGGUGAAAGCCUGGGGCUCAACCCCAGAACUGCCUUCGAUACUGGCGGUCUUGAGUAUGGUAGAGGUUGGUGGAACUCCGAGUGUAGAGGUGAAAUUCGUAGAUAUUCGGAAGAACACCAGUGGCGAAGGCGGCCAACUGGACCAUUACUGACGCUGAGGUGCGAAAGCGUG
rnacentral:rRNA from 1 species